rnacentral:tRNA from 2 species
AAAGGUUAGUUUAAAGAAAACAUUAAUUUGUCAAAUUAAAAAUAUUAUAAAUAAUACUUUUUA